rnacentral:lncRNA from 1 species
GAACUACAAUAAACAAAAAGAAAAAUCAACAGACAUGUAGCCAAUCAACCAUCCCGUGUGCAGGUAACCAGCAUGCAUAUUACAAUCUGCAAAAGAGCUAAGCAUUAUUAGUAUAUGCAGGUUAAAGACAGCUGAUGAUGGCUCUGGACCUCUGGCAAUGAGCUCCAUGAUCUUCAUGGGAGCUUAGACUGUAAACUGACAUAAUCCAGCUUAUUCAUCCGCUCCAUGCACAUACAGCAGGUUCAGUCCAUUUAGAUGCAAAGCUAAAAGGCCUCGACUAAAGAAAUAC